rnacentral:rRNA from 1 species
GCAGUCGAGCGGACAGAUGGGAGCUUGCUCCCUGAUGUUAGCGGCGGACGGGCGAGUAACACGUGGGUAACCUGCCUGUAAGACUGGGAUAACUCCGGGAAACCGGGGCUAAUACCGGAUGCUUGAUUGAACCGCAUGGUUCAAUUAUAAAAGGUGGCUUUUAGCUACCACUUACAGAUGGACCCGCGGCGCAUUAGCUAGUUGGUGAGGUAACGGCUCACCAAGGCGACGAUGCGUAGCCGACCUGAGAGGGUGAUCGGCCACACUGGGACUGAGACACGGCCCAGACUCCUACGGGAGGCAGCAGUAGGGAAUCUUCCGCAAUGGACGAAAGUCUGACGGAGCAACGCCGCGUGAGUGAUGAAGGUUUUCGGAUCGUAAAACUCUGUUGUUAGGGAAGAACAAGUACCGUUCGAAUAGGGCGGUACCUUGACGGUACCUAACCAGAAAGCCACGGCUAACUACGUGCCAGCAGCCGCGGUAAUACGUAGGUGGCAAGCGUUGUCCGGAAUUAUUGGGCGUAAAGCGCGCGCAGGCGGUUUCUUAAGUCUGAUGUGAAAGCCCCCGGCUCAACCGGGGAGGGUCAUUGGAAACUGGGGAACUUGAGUGCAGAAGAGGAGAGUGGAAUUCCACGUGUAGCGGUGAAAUGCGUAGAGAUGUGGAGGAACACCAGUGGCGAAGGCGACUCUCUGGUCUGUAACUGACGCUGAGGCGCGAAAGCGUGGGGAGCGAACAGGAUUAGAUACCCUGGUAGUCCACGCCGUAAACGAUGAGUGCUAA